UGAUAUGGUUUAAAGUAUUUGUUUAAUUUUUAAUUAUUUAAACAACAAAAUAUCUUAACAUUUAAUUUAAUAAAAAUGUUUAUGAUAUUAUAUUUUAUCUUAGAAUACAGUAGCUGGUGAUUUCGUUUGCAAUGAUAUUGUCUCUGUAAUUAAUAUAUUUUUUCUAAUUUUUUAUCAAAAUUUUUACUAUGAAUAAAAAAAAAAAAAUUAUUAAGAGAGGUGAUGUGAUUUUGGAAGAUAAACCAUUUGUUCAUGCUCUGAAAUCAUUGUUCAAAAAUGAAAAAUGUGAUUACUGUUAUUCAGCAUGCUCAGGUUGUCAAUAUGUUCUUUAUUGUAACCGUAUUUGUCAAAAAUUAUCCUGGAUAGAACAUAAACAUGAAUGUUGUAAAAUGAGAAAAAUAUUUCCAAAAGUAUUACCUGAUGCUGCUAGAAUUAUGUCUAAAAUAAUAAUUAAGUUAAGAAAUGGAGGACUUAUUCAAAAAAGUUAUUAUGCACCAAAUCGUUCUAGGACUUUUCAAGAUAUGAUGUCACAUUAUCCUGAACUUAAAAAAGAUAAACAACGGUUAGAUCAUUUUAACUCACUUUUUGAAGUAUUAAAAAACUAUAUGGGGGAGUCUGGUUUACCAAACACUGUUGAGUUACUUGGAAUUUAUGGUCGUAUGUGUAUUAAUGCAUUUAAUAUACUAGAUAAUAAUUUAAAUACAGUUGGUACUGGAAUCUAUCUAGCUGCAUCAGUGUUAAAUCAUUCAUGCACACCUAAUGCUACUGCUACAUUUGAUGGAACUACCUUGAGAAUUCGUGCUUUAAUGGAUAUUGAACCGUCUGAUCCAGAAUUACAUGUAUAUAUAUCAUAUUUGGAGCUUAUGCAAACAACCAGUGAGAGAAGAUGUGAACUUCAAAAAAAUUAUUAUUUUAUUUGUGAAUGUCAACGAUGUACAAACGACAACGAACAAAAUUUUGUUAAUUCUAUGAUUUGUCCUAAUAUAAAAUGUCAAGAAGGAAUCCCCAUGGAACUUAAUAAACCAAAUGUUUUGGAUACUGUGACAUGUUCUAAAUGUUUAUUAAAAGUUGAUGAUAGAAUAGUUGAAGAAUUUUACAAUGUGACAGAAUUCACUAAUUUUCAACUUCAAAAAAUGAAAGAUAUUGGGUACUUAGAUAUUUGUAAAAUGUGUUUAAAAAAACAAAAUGGAAUCUUUCAUCCAAACAACAUACACCAUGUCAAAAUAUUAGAUUUAGCAUUUGAAAGUGCAAUAAAAAUGGAAUUAUGGUCUGAAAGUUUAAAAUUUGGAAUUAAACUAAUUGAAGGAUAUAAAGUUUACUAUGGUAAUUAUCAUCCAUCUUUGGGUAUUUUACUAAUGAAGCUAUUUAAGUUAUGUUCAAUUGUUGAAAAUGCAGAAACAGCUGUCCAAUAUUUGAAAAAAGGAAUGUCAGUUCUAAAAAUUACUCAUGGCGAAGAUCACUCUUUGUACAUUAAUGAAGUUGUUCCUUAUUCUAAAGAAGAUCUUCGUCUUUUUUCACCUUCGAAUACAUUAUUUUUGAGUCGACGAGGGUCCAGAUCUCAAGGACAUAGUAAAUACAGUGCUGAGUAGUACAAGAUAAGUUAUCAUUUUGGAUCCCCUGUGGGCAAGUGAAGGGUCAGAUUUUCAAAAAAUAUAUACCAAACGUUAUAUGGUUUUGGUGAUUGGCCAAGUACAAAAUUCAAAAGCAAAGUCACACCGUCGUAAAACAAUCGGUUCUUAAACCCAGAAUUGGUUUAUUAAAAAUUUAAAUAUAAAAUAACAAUUAUAUGGCGAAUAAUUUUGCAAAUUAUUUGUUUGCCUAUU